AGGUUUUGAUGAGCACGUGGCCAGGAGUAGGGUAGUGCUGUCCAGCCGAUCCCCUGCCCGGGGAACCUCCUGUGGAUUGCCUGGCAUUGAGGUUGAUCGUAUGCCCUAGCCAGGACAAAUUUCUGGAAACCCUUUUGCUUUAGUCAUGGGGGCAGGGCUUUACCCACUGAUACUCCCCAGCUUGCAAUGCUUCAGCAAUAAUCUGGACUGGGUUUCAUCACAAGUGGUGUUAAGUCUCCAAGGCUUUACAUUUGGACUAUUAAUAACCGUGCCCUGGUUAUCAAUAGAAAGGGGCACUCCAAGAGUGUGAACUAGGUCCUCGUGUUGAUGGUGAUUCUGCCAGCCUUUGCUACAGGCAUUCCUUUAGCCAUUCAGAGAAGAUACACUCAAAUGCUACAGUAUACUCUAAGAUAUGAAUAAAAUGGACCAGGAUAUUUUCAGAAGGCCCCAAAGGAGAGGAUGACUUGCCCUCAUUUUCUUGACAACUUUUCUCACAUCUGGGCCUGUGCAAUAAGAAAGCUCUUACAAAACUGCUGAGACACACUGGGAAAUCCAGGGUAUACCGAUCACAUCCAGCCAGUUCUGGCACUCCUUGGUGUGUGCCAAGCUAGGGGCUAUGGGAACAGGGUGAGUGGGUAGAUCCUUUGAUGCCACUCCAAAGCUUUCUGGGGAGCACCAAAAUGACAGGAAUGCAAAAUCUCUGAAGGCUCUUUUCUGAAUUCCAAGCUGACUCUGCAGAAGGGCCAAACUUAAAGAAGCGGCCCAGGCUGAGCGCAGUGGCUCACACCUGUAAUCCUAGCACUUUGGGAGGCUGAGGUGGGUGGAUCGUCUGAGGUCAGGAGUUCGAGACCAGCCUGAUCAACAUGGUGAAAUCCCAUCUCUACUAAAAAAUACAAAAAUUAGCCGGGCAUGGUGGUGGGUGCCUGUAAUUCCAGCUACUUUGGAGGCUGAGGCAGGAGAAUCGCUUGAACCUGCGGGGGAGGA
rnacentral:lncRNA from 10 species